rnacentral:rRNA from 1 species
AUUGAACGCUGGCGGCAGGCCUAACACAUGCAAGUCGAGCGGAUGAAGGGAGCUUGCUCCUGGAUUCAGCGGCGGACGGGUGAGUAAUGCCUAGGAAUCUGCCUGGUAGUGGGGGAUAACGUCCGGAAACGGGCGCUAAUACCGCAUACGUCCUGAGGGAGAAAGUGGGGGAUCUUCGGACCUCACGCUAUCAGAUGAGCCUAGGUCGGAUUAGCUAGUUGGUGGGGUAAAGGCCUACCAAGGCGACGAUCCGUAACUGGUCUGAGAGGAUGAUCAGUCACACUGGAACUGAGAAAAGGUCCAGACUCCUACGGGAGGCAGCAGUGGGGAAUAUUGGACAAUGGGCGAAAGCCUGAUCCAGCCAUGCCGGGGGUGUGAAGAAGGUCUUCGGAUUGUAAAGCACUUUAAGUUGGGAGGAAGGGCAGUAAGUUAAUACCUUGCUGUUUUGACGUUACCAACAGAAUAAGCACCGGCUAACUUCGUG